CAAGGAAAAAAUACGGUAUUGAUGGGAAAACGUGGGCUGCUGCAUCCGGUGGUUCUAGGAGUCGGUCUCCUUCUCCUCGUGACCGUCGCAGAGUGCAGUAUUCUGGAGCUCUGUAUUCUAUCUGAUUUUUAACCAUAUAUACAGUCAGCUACCACGCGCAGUGAUUUUGUGUUCGCAAUUAUAAGUUGGUUUCCAUCAACCUCCACAAUCUGCCCAUAUCCACCGAGGUGUACAUAACCCCAAGACCACGGCAGCACCUACCGUCCCUGCUUUUCGACAGCCCACCGGGAGAAAGAAAAUCCACAGUUCGAAAUUGUAUCAAUUGAAGUGGUGCAGUUCCCAUUGGGGAAUCGCACCACUAGUACAGACGUAGUGAUACCUAGUUAUGUAUGAUAUAACUCUUGGUAUAACCUGAUAUAACUCUUGGUACAACCUGAUAUAACCCUUGGUACAACCUGGUAUAACUCGCUGGGAUACGUGGACUCGCUCCGGAAAAUUUUUCGACCGGCAGCGUGCUCGGGUCAGUUGAGGUUAUAUAACCUCCCCGUCCGACCUACGGGUGUGAGCAACGUGAUCCCAAGGAUGGACUUCCUCACGCUGUGAGCCGGUAUACCAUUACCGUCGCAACCAGCUUCGACAGUUGCGUCACUACAAGCAAGCUGCACCUGGCUUUC